AGAACAUUGACAAUAUUCAGGUCAAACUUGUUUACUUAGAUGUUUCAUUAUAAUUACUAUAAAUUCGCAUUGAUUAUUCAAAGUUACCUUCAGCAAAAUUAUGAAAAGUGGAAAAUAAUAAUAUACAAAUUAUAAACAGAUACAGAGAUCAGAUACAUGGAGCACUGGGGUAAGAAGUAUAAGCGGCUGACCCUAGAGUAGAGACUAAUAGGCUAAGAAUGUUGGUCAUAUAAGUGGGUCAGUACGA